CCUACGGGUGGCAGCAGUGAGGAAUAUUGGUCAAUGGGCGUAAGCCUGAACCAGCCAAGUCGCGUGAGGGAUGAAGGAUCUAUGGAUCGUAAACUUCUUUUAUAAGGGAAUAAAGUGAGGGACGUGUCCAGUUUUGUAUGUACCCUAUGAAUAAGGAUCGGCUAACUCCGUGCCAGCAGCCGCGGUAAUACGGAGGAUCCGAGCGUUAUCCGGAUUUAUUGGGUUUAAAGGGUGCGUAGGUGGCUUUUUAAGUCAGCGGUGAAAGUGUGUGGCUCAACCAUAGAAUUGCCGUUGAAACUGGGAGGCUUGAGUUUGUGUGAGGUAGGCGGAAUGCGUGGUGUAGCGGUGAAAUGCUUAGAGAUCACGCAGAACCCCGAUUGCGAAGGCAGCCUGCUAAGCCAUAACUGACGCUGAUGCACGAAAGCGUGGGGAUCAAACAGGAUUAGAUACCCUUGUAGUC
rnacentral:rRNA from 1 species